rnacentral:rRNA from 1 species
GAUGAACGCUGGCGGCGUGCCUAAUACAUGCAAGUCGAGCGAACAGACGAGGAGCUUGCUCCUCUAACGUUAGCGGCGGACGGGUGAGUAACACGUGGAUAACCUACCUAUAAGACUGGGAUAACUUCGGGAAACCGGAGCUAAUACCGGAUAAUAUAUUGAACCGCAUGGUUCAAUAGUGAAAGACGGUUUUGCUGUCACUUAUAGAUGGAUCCGCGCCGCAUUAGCUAGUUGGUAAGGUAACAGCUUACCAAGGCAACGAUGCGUAGCCGACCUGAGAGGGUGAUCGGACACGAUGGAACUGAGACACGGUCCAGACUGCUACGGGAGGCAGCAGUAGGGAAUCUUCCGCAAUGGGUGAAAGCCUGACGGAGCAACGCCGCGUGAGUGAUGAAGGUCUUCGGAUCGUAAAACUCUGUUAUUAGGGAAGAACAAAUGUGUAAGUAACUAUGCACGUCUUGACGGUACCUAAUCAGAAAGCCACGGCUAACUACGUGCCAGCCGCCGCGGUAA